rnacentral:piRNA from 1 species
UGGUCAGUGAUAAACAGUAGAAUUUCCA